rnacentral:lncRNA from 1 species
GAGAGAUCAACAUUCUAUCUUAUAUAAAUUUGAAGAAAAGCACCAUUUUCCAUUGAUGCAAUAUUUAAGAUUCUAUCUUAGUAAAUUGUUGGAGACCCUUUGGCAUACUCUGCGAAGGUUUGUAUAUAUGUUUUAACAGAUUGUGGUCAUAAAAAAAUAAUCCAAAAUAUGGUAUGGCAUGCAGUAGUAUAAUGGAAUCUGCAAAGUUUUACCAUGAUAUACCAAACACAUGCGAUGUUUUACCUAAGUUGCGUACAUCCAGAUCUUGCUCGUAACAUGUUUGUUUUGAAUUUAGAUUACCAACAAGCUGAUGGUCUAGUGGUAAAAAAAUGUCUAGUGAAAACUGUCAUUCGGGUUCAAUUAUUUUUGGAAAAAAACUAUUUACAUUGCUUAAUAUCCGGCAAAUAGGUGAAAACCAUAUAUAUAUAUAUAUUUUUAAUUUAGACUACAUACAAUACAAUGAUUAUGUUUAUUCAGCGGUUUAAUCGAUAUAAAAAAAUAAUGAAAAAAUAAACAAUGAUGUGAAAUAAACAUAGUUUAAAACAUUUCACCAUAUUAUAAGACAAAAAAAAAAAUUCACCAUAUUAAAUAAACAAAAGAUAAAUACCAACGCACCAUAUAAUUAUUUCAUUAUUAGUUUCCAAAAUCAGCUUUUUAUUUCAUCAUAAUUAAUAUUGGUUAUUUUAUGAUAAAUUAUUUUCAUAUUUAAUGAUCAUUUUCAUGUGUUACAAAUAGAGGAUAAAAAUCUGAUUUAUUUAAUUUGGACAUAUUAACAUAUUUUAAAUAUUUUGGGAAAUAAAUCUUAACAAUAGCUCUU